GACGAAUGCUGGCGGCGUGCUUAACACAUGCAAGUCGAGCGAGGCCCCUCCUUCGGGAGGGUGUCCUAGCGGCGAACGGGUGAGUAACACGUGGGCAACCUGCGCCCAGCACUGGGAUAACUCCGGGAAACCGGGGCUAAUACCGGAUACGACCUCCACGGGCAUCUGCGGAGGUGGAAAGUUUUUCGGCUGAGGAUGGGCCAGCGGCCUAUCAGCUAGUUGGGGGGGUAGUGGCCCACCCAGGCGACGACGGGGAGCCGGCCUGAGAGGGCGACCGGCCACAGUGGGACUGAGAAGCGGGCCAGACUCCUACGGGAGGCAGCAGUGGGGAAUAGUGCGCGAUGGGCGGAAGCCUUACGCAGCGACGCCGCGUGGGGGACGAAGGCCUUCGGGUUGUAACGCGCUUUCAGCAGGGACGAAGCGAAAGUGACGGUACCUGCAGAAGAAGCACCGGCCAACUACGUG
rnacentral:rRNA from 1 species